GACGAACGCUGGCGGCGUGCUUAACACAUGCAAGUCGAACGGAAAGGCCCUGCUUUUGUGGGGUGCUCGAGUGGCGGACGGGUGAGUAACACGUGAGUGACCUGCCCUUGACUUUGGGAUAACUUCAGGAAACUGGGGCUAAUACCGGAUAGGAGCUCCUGCUGCAUGGUGGGGGUUGGAAAGUUUCGGCGGUUGGGGAUGGACUCGCGGCUUAUCAGCUUGUUGGUGGGGUAGUGGCUUACCAAGGCUUUGACGGGUAGCCGGCCUGAGAGGGUGACCGGCCACAUUGGGACUGAGAUACGGCCCAGACUCCUACGGGAGGCAGCAGUGGGGAAUAUUGCACAAUGGGCGGAAGCCUGAUGCAGCAACGCCGCGUGCGGGAUGACGGCCUUCGGGUUGUAAACCGCUUUCGCCUGUGACGAAGCGUGAGUGACGGUAAUGGGUAAAGAAGCACCGGCUAACUACGUG
rnacentral:rRNA from 1 species